rnacentral:rRNA from 1 species
GAUGAACGCUGGCUACAGGCUUAACACAUGCAAGUCGAGGGGAAACGACGGGGAAGCUUGCUUCCCCGGGCGUCGACCGGCGCACGGGGGAGUAACGCGUAUCCAACCUGCCUCUGACUGAGGGAUAACCCGUCGAAAGUCGGCCUAAUACCUCAUGGCAUCGUCUGCGGGCAUCCAACGACGAUUAAAGAUUUCAUCGGUCAGAGAUGGGGAUGCGUCUGAUUAGCUUGUUGGCGGGGUAACGGCCGACCAAGGGGACGAUCAGUAGGGGUUCUGAGAGGAAGGUCCCCCACAUUGGAACUGAGACACGGACCAAACUCCUACGGGAGGCAGCAGUGAGGAAUAUUGGGCAAUGGGCGAGAGCCUGAACCAGCCAAGUAGCGUGCAGGAUGACGGCCCUAUGGGUUGUAAACUGCUUUUAUGCGGGGAUAAAGUGAGGGACGUGUCCUUCAUUGCAGGUACCGCAUGAAUAAGGACCGGCUAAUUCCGUG